rnacentral:rRNA from 1 species
AUUGAACGCUGGCGGCAUGCCUUACACAUGCAAGUCGAACGGCAGCGGGGGAGAAGCUUGCUUUUCCUGCCGGCGAGUGGCGAACGGGUGAGUAAUACAUCGGAACGUGCCCCGUAGUGGGGGAUAACUAGUCGAAAGAUUAGCUAAUACCGCAUACGACCUGAGGGUGAAAGUGGGGGACCGCAAGGCCUCAUGCUAUAGGAGCGGCCGAUGUCUGAUUAGCUAGUUGGUGGGGUAAAGGCCUACCAAGGCGACGAUCAGUAGCUGGUCUGAGAGGACGAUCAGCCACACUGGGACUGAGACACGGCCCAGACUCCUACGGGAGGCAGCAGUGGGGAAUUUUGGACAAUGGGCGAAAGCCUGAUCCAGCAAUGCCGCGUGUGUGAAGAAGGCCUUCGGGUUGUAAAGCACUUUUGUCCGGAAAGAAAUGGCUCUGGUUAAUACCUGGGGUCGAUGACGGUACCGGAAGAAUAAGGACCGGCUAACUACGUGCCAGCCGCCGCAGUAAGAC